rnacentral:rRNA from 1 species
UACGGAGGGGACUAGCGUUGUUCGGAAUUACUGGGCGUAAAGCGCACGUAGGCGGAUUUGUAAGUCAGGGGUGAAAUCCCGAGGCUCAACCUCGGAACUGCCUUUGAUACUGCAAAUCUCGAGUCCGGAAGAGGUGAGUGGAAUUCCUAGUGUAGAGGUGAAAUUCGUAGAUAUUAGGAAGAACACCAGUGGCGAAGGCGGCUCACUGGUCCGGUACUGACACUCAGGGACGACAGCGUGGGGAGCGAACCGG